rnacentral:rRNA from 1 species
UACAGAGGGGGCAAGCGUUGUUCGGAAUUACUGGGCGUAAAGGGCGCGUAGGCGGCCUGCUAAGUCGAACGUGAAAUCCCCGGGCUCAACCCGGGAACUGCGUCCGAUACUGGUUGGCUUGAAUCCGGGAGAGGGAUGCGGAAUUCCAGGUGUAGCGGUGAAAUGCGUAGAUAUCGAGAGGAACACCUGCGGCGAAGGCGGGUUGCUGGGCUGACACUGACGCUGAUGCGCGAAAGCCAGGGGAGCGAACGGG